GGCCGGUUAGCUCAGUGGGUUGAGCGCGGUGCUGACAACAAUGACAACACCGACAACACCGAGGUCGCGGGUUUGAUUCCCGCUCGGUCC
rnacentral:tRNA from 1 species